UUUAUACGUCGAAUUUCGGUCGCGUCGAAUGCAAUUUGAACAAUAGAUAAUGAAGCUUAUUGAGGAUUAUAAUCUCAUUAUCUAUUGUUUGAAUUGCAUUCGACGUGGCCAAAAUUCGACGUAUGAA